UACGUAGGUGGCGAGCGUUGUCCGGAUUUAUUGGGCGUAAAGCGCGCGCAGGCGGUGCGGUACGUCUGUCGUGAAAUCUCCCGGCUCAACUGGGAGGGUGCGGUGGAGACUGCCGGACUGGAGGCACUCAGAGGCCGGUGGAAUUCCCGGUGUAGUGGUGAAAUGCGUAGAGAUCGGGAGGAACACCGAUGGCGAAGGCAGCUCGCUGGGACGGUACUGACGCUGAGGCGCGAAAGCGUGGGGAGCGAACAGG
rnacentral:rRNA from 1 species